GAUGAAGAACGCAGCGAAAUGCGAUAAGUAAUGUGAAUUGCAGAGUUCAGUGAAUCAUCGAGUCUUUGAACGCACAUUGCGCCCUCUGGUAUUCCGGAGGGCAUGCCUGUCCGAGCGUCAUUGCUGCCCUCAAGCACGGCUUGUGUGUUGGGCCCCGCCCCCCGAUCCCGGGGGGCGGGCCCGAAAGGCAGCGGCGGCACCGCGUCCGGUCCUCGAGCGUAUGGGGCUUUGUCACCCGCUCUGUAGGCCCGGCCGGCGCCUGCCGAUCAACCAAACUUUUUUCCAGGUUGACCUCGGAUCAGGUAGGGAUACCCGCUGAACUUAAGCAUAUCAAUAAGCGGAGGA
rnacentral:misc_RNA from 1 species